CGACUUCCCUUUUCUCACCUCUGCUUGAAAUAUGUGCACCUUUUCAUAAUGGUAAGACAAAUAAAAUAAAUUCAGUUUGAAGUUUUAACAAGGAAAAAGAAAUCUGAAAUGUAAAGGCCAAUAAUAAUCUGCAUCUGCCCCAACAUGGUGUUUGGAAUUUUUCAACCAUGAUAAAGAAUGAUCUAAGCAAGGGUGUUUUUACACCAUUCUUCUAAUGUUCUUUAUUUCUUACUGGUGUCAAGACCUC